rnacentral:rRNA from 1 species
UACGGAGGGAGCUAGCGUUGUUCGGAAUUACUGGGCGUAAAGCGCACGUAGGCGGCUAUUCAAGUCAGAGGUGAAAGCCCGGGGCUCAACCCCGGAACUGCCUUUGAAACUAGGUAGCUAGAAUCUUGGGGAGGUCAGUGGAAUUCCGAGUGUAGAGGUGAAAUUCGUAGAUAUUCGGAAGAACACCAGUGGCGAAGGCGACUGACUGGACAAGUAUUGACGCUGAGGUGCGAAAGCGUGGGGAGCAAACAGG